GAAGCACAUUAAUUAACUGAAAAAUGUUGCAUAGUAUGCCUUUAACAAACAAUAUAUAUUGGAUUUAGUGAACGUCAUGUUAGCGUGGUUUUUAAUUGAGUACUCUUUCAAUUACAGGAUUAUAGAUUAACUAAUAUUAUACUUAACCAUUUUUUCAGUGUACAGAAGUGAAAAACUCAUACGCAAUGGAGUUGGAAGGCCUAAAGAGGUCACUUCAAUUCCUAGAAGAUGCUGGAGUCACUGUUACUGACUUGACAACAGACCGUCAUUCCAGUGUUAAAAAGUUUAUGCGCGAGAUUUAUCCAUCAAUUAAUCACUGGUUUGAUGCCUGGCAUAUAGCAAAAGGUAUUACAAAAAAGCUUGACGCAUCAUCAAAGAAAAAGUUAUGUCACACCAUCUCACCGUGGAUCCACAGCAUCUCCAACCAUGUAUAUUGGUGUGGGGCAAGCAGUGAUGGAAAUGCUGAGCUGGUUGUGGCCAAGUGGAAGUCGGUGAUGAACCACAUUGUAGACAUCCACGAACACCCAUUUGAGAACUUUCCAACCUGUGCACAUGAUGAGUUGGUAGAGGACAGAGAGUGGAUUGCAGAAGGUGAAAAAUUAUUUUCAGCUUUCUCAAAAGUCAAUCUCCUAAGGGCUUUUCAUAAUACUUCCUUCACAAUCACUGCAGGUUCAAGGGCCCAUGUUGAGGUGAAAUCAAUUGUCACUAACCGUACUCUGCUUGCCGACAUUGGUAAAUUGUCACCUCAUGUGCAGACGUCAAGUGUUGAAAGCUACCACAAGGUGGUGUGCUUCUUUGCACCAAAGUUCUUGCACUUCUUCUACCACAGUAUGAAUGCCAGAUUGAUGCUUGCCAUUCUCCAUUUCAAUGAGAAUUCCAACAGACAGCAGGCUAAGAACAAAGCUGGAAAAGAAAUGUGGCAGCUCUCAUUUCCAAAGGCAAAAAAA